rnacentral:lncRNA from 1 species
GCAAACUUCUGAUUGGUGGUUAUUUGUUCUCUCUCAAACUGAUUUGAUGGGAAUAAAAUUUCCAAAUAAAUUAAUCUUAAACAGAAUCAGCACUGCAAAAUGGCACAAUGCUGAUUCUGUUUUCAUGUUUUCUGUUUCCUGGUACAAAGAACAUGAGCACAAAGGAACUAUAGGAAGUGCAUUAAGAAAAAAGUAUAAUAGAUUUAUGACAAUAAAUGAUGUAUGGGAAUGGAAUCAUGCAAAUUGUGAAAUCAAGGUGUAAAAAUGAUUAAAGAAUUUUAAUCUCUAUGAUUAAAAAUAUUUUUUAGUAAUAAAGCAAUGGUUUCCAAAUAUUUUUCAACUUUUGGC